CACCACCACAAAAAAUUUCUCUAUCUCCUUCUCCCUUUUCUCUAUCAAAAUCGCCGGAAAAGUCAGUCUUCGCCACCACCACAGAAAGAAAUUGAGUUAUAAAAGCUAGCAUCUGGAGUUUACCCUUACUAUGAAGGAAAAGAGUAUAAUUGGUUUAUACAGGAAUGUAAUUAAAUUGAACACUUUUGUAGCACAAACAAAAGCUUAAAUGUGACACCAUUUUUCUUGGUGCAAUUUCACAUCAAACACUUUUGUAGCACAAGCAAAAGCUAAAUAUAAUACAAAACAAGGUGUAGUCAUGGCUAAAAAA